GUGAGAACAGUCAGCCUGCGACGGUUUGGAACGUGGGAACCUAGCUGUCAGCCGCUUGGGUUGGGGAAGGAAGAGCAGAGGUUAAGUCGGAGAGUACGGUGUAAUGUACUUUCCAGUCAUAGCUACCGAGCUGUGUGACUAUGGAAAACAUGAACGGUUUGCAGCCUUUGAAGGGGUUGACCACAGCGUUCCCGCCCUUUGCCCUGGUAGAAAUGGGCUCGGGAGCCAAGGUAAAAAUCGGGGCAACAGCGAGGCCAUGUUCUUUGGGAAUUGGGCCAACCGAUCCUUCAUUCCCGUCACCGUCACGACAGAUUACCUGAAAGUGCUGGGAAUAUGGCUCAGAGGGCCUAGGGCAUGCACAAAAUCUGAGAGGAGUGCAUCGCCAAAGUGAAGCAGAAAUUGGUCUUCUGGAAGCACUGUUCCUUGUCCGUUGCGGGGAUAAACCUGGUUAUCAGGUGUGAAGCACUCUGUCUCUGAUGCUGUAAACGACACAGGUCUGGCCUGCCUCCCGUCACUGAUGUUUCAAUCACCUGAGUCAUCUUCUAUUUCAUCUGGAAGCCUAAGAUAGACUGGGCCUGCAGGAACUCCAUGUAUAAAACUCUGGAUGGUGGUGGCAGAGAACGUUCCCACUGUUGCCCUCCUGAUGGCCACCUUUGUGUUUUAUCAUACAGACCUUUCAUCACCAUGCUGGGUAACAUCAGUGCGGCAUCCAAUGAAGCAAAACUGUUCUACUCCACUUGGAAUUUAUAUGAUCUGCUCUGUCGAGUUGUGUUGUGCCAUUUCCUGUUCUUUUUUGCAUGGGUUUGUACAUGAGGUCUAAUUCCACAUGUUUGUUGAUUGCAUUAUGGGUUGAAAACCAGUGCAUAUCUGUUGUUGGCUUGAGCCAGGAUGGUCCCAUUGUUCCAGUUAAAUUGAUGGCCACAUUGUCUGAGUGCACUGUGAUGAGGGAAAGUUUGUCAUGUUGUUUUUCUGCCACCUGGUGUUCAUGUAUCCUGAUGGCUAGUUUCCUUCCAGUCUGGCUAUUGUAAUGUUUGUUGCAGUCAUUGGAAGGUAUUUUUGUAAACUAUGUUGGUCUUACACGUCAUGGGUAUGGGUUCUUUGGUCCUUGUGGGUGUUUGUUGUAGUGUAGCUGUGGAUUUGUGUCCUGCCAUGAUUCCUAGUGGUCAUAGGAGUCUCGUCAGUUCUGAUAUGUUCAUGAUAUAGGAUAGUGUGAUGUGUCCUGUUGGUGUUGCCUAUCUAGACGGCACCUGCGGAUGAAAUUGUUGGGAUGUCUGUUAUUAACAGAUACCUUGUAUAGGUGCUCUUCCUCCUUUCUACGUAGUUCUGGCAUGUUGCAGUGUAUUGCGGCUCAUUGGAAUAAUGUCCUAACACAGCUUUGUUUGUGGACGUUGGGUGAUUGCUGUGGAAAUUGAGGAUUUGGUCAAUAUGGGUUGCCUUCCUGUGUACUGUGAACUCCCCAUUGGUCAUUCGUUCUACCCUGACAUCUUGGAAUGGAAGUUGAUUGUUGUCUUCAUCUUCUUUUGUAAAUUUGACCCUAGGACUCGGGACUUAUUGCAGGGGCAGUCAUGCAAAGACUGGAGUGCACAAACCUGCCCCUCAUACAGCCAGAACUGUGGAUCUGAUACAUGGAUGAUGCAUCAUCAUUAAACCAAGUUAGAAGAAACGCACCAUCUUAUCAAAAACAUUUUCACCAGGAUCAAAUUAAUGAACAACGGAUAUCUCAAUAAUUUCAUCCACAGGUGCCUACUAGAUGGAUGAAGCUAAAUAACCAGCCAGCAAAGCGAGCAAGCCAACAACCUCAUCCACAAGCCAAGCUACAAAUCUUAACAAGAACAUUAAACCUUUGUGUUUGGCUACAUGAAGCUGUGCAUAGACCCUUAGUACACAACACCAAGUGCCACUGCAUACUGAGGUUUUACCUGUCCCUCAGUGUUUCAAGGGAUGGGACUGGCCUUGCUGCCACAUCCCCUAUCACUUCUCCUUCAUCGAGAAAUUUGCAAAGCACCUUUGACUAGCAGUCCAUCAGGAAGUGUACCCUGAGAGAAAAGAAGAGGGUGGAUCCUGUUGCAUGGUUCCCUAAGAAAAUUGUCAAAGUCAUUUGGCAGAAUGCCUCAUCACCCGAACUUCGGAAAAGCACCAAGACGUUGCUUGGCUUUUGCUGAUAAGGGAAGUACCUGGGAGAUCCUUUAUGUCUGCACUACUGCCCGCUGCUCUUGAAGUGGCUGGUUCGGAGGUUUGAAGAUGGAGGGUGGUGGUGAUGGGGGGCUGCUGGUGAGGGGUAUUGAGGUUGAGACUGUGACACAUCUCCUUCUGGAAUAUGCCUCUGCCAAAGAAGUCUGGAGGAAGAUGCAUGGUUUGUGUCAAGGUUUGUCUUAAGCAGCUCCGUGACACGGGACUGUGCCCUGUACGGUCUGUUCACCAGGACACACACCGAGACAAACAUUAGCUGGAGCUGGAGUACCAUCAAUUCAGUGAAAGACGCUCUUUGAUUUGCUCAAGACUUGUUAGUCAUUCAGAACAAGGAGCCAACCUCAACUCGGUGUUGCAGACUGGCACAUUUCAAAGUCUGGGACUGCAUGCUGAGGGACACACUAAAGUUUGGGGCAGCUGCCAUCAAAGCACAGUGGGGAAGGACCACUGCUGAAGUCUUCCAGCUAAAAGUAAAUGAGUGUCCUUCCAGUUAUUGGACCCUCCUAGUGCCUCAAAUAUAGGUCAGAGAGAGGUAGAGGAAACUGUCCAAACUCCAGAAAACCAUGCAGAACCUGCUCCUGCUGCAGACGAUGGAGUUAAUGUCACGGAUGAUCUCCAAGAAGUAAAGAGCCAGCAAGCCUCCCUCUUUGCCCAAGAAAAUCUUCUGCACCAAGAUCCACCCCAUGGAGCGGGAUGAAACAUGCUCGUGUUUCUUCUUCCAGAAGGUGUACAAGGAGAACUCUGUGCUCAGCAGCCUGGAGGAAGAAGAUAACUUGUUAACAUCAUUUCAGUCUGACAUACUGAGGAUCAGCAAAUGCUUUUAUGCCAGUCUGUAUGACACAAAGUCCACAGACAGUAAUUCCUGUCAUCUAUCAUGGAAGUCUUAGAUGAUAGCACAGGAGAGAGGAUGGACCAGCUGUUAUAUCUGGAUGAACUGACAAAAGCUCUCGAGUAGAAAAGUAUAAAACUUUCAGAAGUGACAGCUUACCAGCCAGGUUGUGUUCAGCUGUAUGGAACUUGAUUGGCUAGGACCUGUGGGUAUGUUUCUGUCAGAUAGCAUGUGCAAAUCAAGAGGAAAGGUAGCAUCACCCUCAUCCACAAGCAAAAUUGGGGGGGAGGGAGGAAAUUAGAAAUUGGCAACCAAUCUCAUUGCUGAAUGAAGAUUAUGAAAUCCUGCCUAAGGCCAUCGGCAACCAGGUCAGGUCUGCUCUGGAAUUGGUGCUUUACCCCAACCCAUCCAAACCUGGGUUAUACUGGGCUGGUUGAUCUCUGAGACCCUUGCACACUUCAGGAAUGUGAUUACCUAUGCCUGCCUCAUCAGCUUGGACCAGGAGAAGGCCUUUGACAAGAUAUUGUACACGUACAUGUGGGGCGUGCUGUACAAAAUAGGAUUUGGGGAGGGAAUCUGCAAUUGGGUUUGAUUGCUGUACACCAACAUCGUUACUGCAGUUUCAAAAAAUGGGUGGGAAUCAAAAAGCUUCUCAUUCAGGCUUCCCAUUUGGAUUCAGAGUCAGGCAGGGCUGCUCACUCUGUCCUGCCUUGCUUGAUUGUUGAAUAGAGCCUUUUGCUGAGUCCAUCGGGAAGGAUGCAAGCCUAAAAGGGGUAACUAUUCCAGGCAGCGGAAGCCAGCAGGUCGACGCCUCCUUGUAUGUGGAUGACAACGCUGCUUUCUGCUGAAUCCGCUGUCUGUGUGCAGACUCAUGAACAUCUGUGAUUAGUUCGAACUGGCCUCAGUCGGUUGCAUCACCACAAGCUGCCCUCAAAGCAGCUGCAGGGGUAGAUUGAGACUGUUACACAUCUGCUGGAAUAUGCCUUUGCAAAGAAUGAUUGGAGAACGAUGCAGUGGUUUCUGUCAAGAUUUGUCCCGGACCAGCUCUGUGACGUGCACUCUGUGCAAUACAGUCUGCUUCCCAGGACACACACCGAGACAAACACCAGCUGCUCCUGGAGGCCCAUCAACUUGGUGAAGGACAUUCUUUCAACUGCCCGAAACUUGUUGACUUUCCAGAACAAGGAGUUGAUCUCAACCAAGUGUUGCAGACUGGCGCAUUCCAAAGUCCAGGGCCAUGUAUUGUGGGACACACUAAAAUCUGGGGAUGCUGCUGCCAAGACACAUUGGGUAAAGACCACUUUCUGAGGUCUUCCUGCUUAAGUAAUGGCAUUCCGUUCAGUUAUCAGAUCCUCCCAGUGCCUCAAAUGCAUGUAAAUAUAGUAUUGUAUACUUAAGAGAGGUUUAUUUUGGAUAGAGUCAAUGAUUGUUUGUUUCCUUGAUAUGCUACUAUACAGAACAAAACUGCAUUUGUGUACAUGUGUAUAAAAAGAUAAUUUUUAUGAAUAAGGUAUAUUUUUGAAAUUAAGAAAGGUCUUCCAGAGCAGGGAGUUGACUUCAAUAGAGUGUUGCAAACAUAUCCCAAGGUGCAGUACUUUGUACUGAGGGAUGCACUAAAGCCUGGAGCAGCUGUUGCCAAAGCGCAGUGGGGAAAGACCACAGUCUUAGGUCUUUCUGCCAAAGUACAAUGGGGGUCUAGUCAGUUAUCCAACCAUCCCGUUUCCUCAAAUGCAUGUAAAUAUAGUCUUGCAUAAGUAAGAAAUGUCUUGGGUUUGUUUGUUCUACAUAUGCAAAGACUGUGUAGAAUUGAACUGUUGUUGUGACUGUGUAUAUAGACUUCUAUGAAGAAAGUAUAUUUUUGAAAUAAAACAAGUUCCUUUUGGAAUGCGCAUUUGCAAAGAA